rnacentral:lncRNA from 1 species
UCGGAGAGCUAGCUUCAUGCUUCGGAAAGGGGAAAAAAGACAGAGAAUUGGAUUUUUUUUCUUCAUAGGGUUUUGGGAAGACUGAGGCAAUCGUUGCUGAAGUCAGUGUUGUAAUGGUGAAUCAAGAUUUUUAAUGAAGUGGGUGUGAUUACUCUUGACUGUUUUGUUAAAUCGAAGUUACGACUAUAAUUGGAGAAUUAAAAGGGUGUCUAUAGGAUUGAGUAUGCGGAGUGAAUGAAAUUU